UACAGAGGUCCCAAGCGUUGUUCGGAUUCACUGGGCGUAAAGGGUGUGUAGGUGGUCAGGUAAGUCUGAUGUGAAAGCUCUGGGCUCAAUCCAGAAAUGGCAUUGGAUACUAUCUGGCUAGAGGAAUGGAGGGGGGACUGGAAUACUUGGUGUAGCAGUGAAAUGCGUAGAUAUCAAGUGGAACACCAGUGGCGAAGGCGAGUCCCUGGACAUUUCCUGACACUGAGGCACGAAAGCUAGGGGAGCAAACAGG
rnacentral:rRNA from 1 species